rnacentral:rRNA from 1 species
GCCUAAAGCGUCCGUAGCCGGCUUUGUUAGUUUUCGGUUAAAUCUAUAUGCUCAACAUAUAGGCUGCCGGGAAUACUGCAAAGCUAGGGAGUGGGAGAGGUAGACGGUACUCCGUAGGAAGGGGUAAAAUCCUUUGAUCUAUGGAUGACCACCAGUGGCGAAGGCGGUCUACCAGAACACGUUCGACGGUGAGGGAUGAAAGCUGGGGGAGCAAACCGGAUUAGAUACCCGGGUAGUCCCAGCUGUAAACUAUGCAAACUCAGUGAUGCAUUGGCUUGUGGCCAGUGCAGUGCCGCAGAGAAGUCGUUAAGUUUGCCGCCUGGGAAGUACGUACGCAAGUAUGAAACUUAAAGGAAUUGGCGGGGGAGCACCACAAGGGGUGAAGCCUGCGGUUCAAUUGGAGUCAACGCCAGAAAUCUUACCCGGAGAGACAGCAGAAUGAAGGUCAAGUUGAAGCCUUUACCAGACAAGCUGAGAAGUGGUGCAUGGCCGUCGCCAGCUCGUGCCGUGAGGUGUCCUGUUAAGUCAGGUAACGAGCGAGAUCCUUGCCUCUAGUUGCUACCAUUACUCUCAGGAGUAGUGGGGCGAAUUAGCGGGACUGCCGUAGUUAAUACGGAGGAAGGAGAGGGCCACGGCAGGUCAGUAUGCCCCGAA